rnacentral:lncRNA from 1 species
GAAAUACAAUCUAAUAUGACAAACAUUUACGACAAUAUUAACUUUUGUUGUCUUAGGUUACCAAAGGAGACAAGAUACAACUUUUUAUCGCCUUAUGUUUUUUUUUUUUUUGUCAGUCCUAUUCUAUUCUUACUCUACACUCACUCUCAGACUUUUGUCCUGCCUCGUGCAAGGCGUGGGAGUUGAAACUCACUCUUGAAACUUACGCGUCCCCACCCCAUCCCCCUGAGAAGGUGGGAUUUGAACCCCUUACCUCCCCCUUCUAUGUUGGAAGGGUGGCCACUGGGGUGAAUCCCAGUGGUUCGCCUUAGGUUAUUUAAGGGGGACACAAUAUAGUUUUUAUGACCCAAAGAACCGACCAAAAACGAAAAAACUUGGAGUUUGGCACUUCAGGUCAUGCCCUAAGUCAAUAAUAAUAGUUUCAUCGCCUUAAGUUUAAGUUAAGGAAUAAAGUUCGUAUUUUGUUAACAUUGAUUCAAUAAAAAAUGGGACAAUUUAGAAUCUAUAGUGACACGCGAUCGUUACCCCUUUAAGU